AAUCAACGCUGGCGGCGUGCCUCAGACAUGCAAGUCGAACGAUUAAAGCUCCCUUCGGGGAGUGCAUAAAGUGGCGCACGGGUGAGUAACACGUAAGUAAUCUACCCUCGAGCGGGGAAUAACGUCCGGAAACGGACGCUAAUACCGCAUAAUGCAGCGGCACCGCAAGGUGACAGUUGUUAAAGAUUUAUCGCUUGAGGAGGAGCUUGCGACAGAUUAGCUAGUUGGUAAGGUAAUGGCUUACCAAGGCCGCGAUCUGUAACCGGUCUAAGAGGACGGUCGGUCACACUGACACUGAAUAACGGGUCAGACUCCUACGGGAGGCAGCAGUCGGGAAUUUUGGGCAAUGGGCGAAAGCCUGACCCAGCAACGCCGCGUGAAGGAUGAAGUAUUUCGGUAUGUAAACUUCGAAAGAAUGGGAAGAAUAAAUGACGGUACCAUUUAUAAGCUCCGGCUAACUACGUGCCAGCCGCCGCAGUAAGAC
rnacentral:rRNA from 1 species